UGCUGCUCGGCCUCGGCAAUGGCCGUCUGCAGCAGGGAAACCCCCAAGGCAGCAGGAAAGAGAACAUCUGGGUUGUUGUGGUAGAAGAUUUUCCUACCCUGUAGUUCCUGAGCAAGUUGGAGUCAGUCCCACAUAGCAGGCAACCAUCUCCCCCAGGGGCAAGACUUUCUGCAACUGAACCACCAUUAGAAGGAUGACUUCAGAGGGUAAAACCAAAAGGCAUUCACCCAGUGACCACUGGGAACUCACUACCCAGCUGUCCAAUAGGCCAUGGCCUCUCUGAAACCUCCAGUGGAUCCCGUAAGAGGUGACUAGCACCCACCUUGGUCUGGUACAGGGCCUCAGCUUCGGCCUUGCUUCUCUGAGCGAUAUCCUCAUACUGUGCACGAACUUCAGCAAUGAUGCUGUCCAGGUCCAGGGAGCGAUUAUUGUCCAUGGACAGCACCACAGAUGUGUCACUGAUGUGGCUCUGCAUCUGAGAUAGCUCCUGUCAACACAGAGGGAGCUUGUUCACUUUUGGGGUCCCUGUAACAAGCACACAGGGCCCUGAAAGACUCUUGAUCAACAGUCUCAUUCACUGAUUCCUUGCUCCACAUGUGUAUCAGCCACACCCUGUCCGCAGCCACUCAGAGAACCCCAUGUCUGCAGCUUAUCCUGUGGAAUCCCUUCCAAGGGUCCUCAUCUCCAGGCUCAUUCCAGAUGUCUUCUGGGGCCUAUAUACCAAAAUGCACCAGCCUCAAAUCUGGAAACACCUCACUCUCCCUCUGUCCCUUCUUAGUAGGUAACAUCCUUACAGCGUCGUAGAGGGUCCUUAAGAAGUCGAUCUCAUCUAUCAAGGCAUCCACUUUGGCCUGAAGCUCCACCUUGUUCAUAUAGGCACUGUCCACAUCCUGAGAAAAGAGGAAGAUAAAGGCCUUAUUCUCCCAAUGAACAAACAGCAAACCACAACUGCAGCAAGAAAGAGCAGAGGGGACUGGUGCAGUGAUGGUCCUUGUCUAAGACCAGUCUCCACUUGAACGGGCAAUUUGUAUCUCAUUAGGAUGGUCUAAGUUUAAUCCUACUAAAAAACUAAAGACUGAUGAACUAACUCUUUUAGGGAUCUUCCAGACUAAGGUGCACCUGACUUCUGUUUAUUGCUCCAAAGGCCUGAACUUGGCAGCUCUGUGGCAGUGGAGUGAGGAGAUUCCCCCAACCCAGCCAGAAACCUGCAGCUGCAAGCCUCAGAAACCUCACACACAGCCCUUACCUUCUUCAGAGUCACAAAUUCAUUCUC
rnacentral:lncRNA from 1 species